rnacentral:rRNA from 1 species
AGCGAACGCUGGCGGCAGGCUUAACACAUGCAAGUCGAGCGGGCAUCCUUGUGGUGUCAGCGGCAGACGGGUGAGUAACGCGUGGGAACGUGCCCUUCGGUUCGGAAUAACUCAGGGAAACUUGAGCUAAUACCGGAUACGUGCGAGAGCAGAAAGGUUUAUCUGCCGAAGGAUCGGCCCGCGUCUGAUUAGCUAGUUGGUGAGGUUAUGGCUCACCAAGGCGACGAUCAGUAGCUGGUCUGAGAGGAUGAUCAGCCACACUGGGACUGAGACACGGCCCAGACUCCUACGGGAGGCAGCAGUGGGGAAUAUUGGACAAUGGGGGCAACCCUGAUCCAGCCAUGCCGCGUGAGUGAUGACGGCCUUAGGGUUGUAAAGCUCUUUUCUCCGGGACGAUAAUGACGGUACCGGAGGAAUAAACCCCGGCUAACUUCGU